rnacentral:rRNA from 1 species
CUUCGGGGACGAUAACGGCGUCGAGCGGCGGACGGGUGAGUAAUGCCUAGGAAAUUGCCCUGAUGUGGGGGAUAACCAUUGGAAACGAUGGCUAAUACCGCAUAAUGCCUACGGGCCAAAGAGGGGGACCUUCGGGCCUCUCGCGUCAGGAUAUGCCUAGGUGGGAUUAGCUAGUUGGUGAGGUAAUGGCUCACCAAGGCGACGAUCCCUAGCUGGUCUGAGAGGAUGAUCAGCCACACUGGAACUGAGACACGGUCCAGACUCCUACGGGAGGCAGCAGUGGGGAAUAUUGCACAAUGGGCGCAAGCCUGAUGCAGCCAUGCCGCGUGUGUGAAGAAGGCCUUCGGGUUGUAAAGCACUUUCAGUCGUGAGGAAGGUGGUAGUGUUAAUAGCACUAUCAUUUGACGUUAGCGACAGAAGAAGCACCGGCUAACUCCGUGCCAGCAGCCGCGGUAAUACGGAGGGUGCGAGCGUUAAUCGGAAUUACUGGGCGUAAAGCGCAUGCAGGUGGUUUGUUAAGUCAGAUGUGAAAGCCCGGGGCUCAACCUCGGAAUAGCAUUUGAAACUGGCAGACUAGAGUACUGUAGAGGGGGGUAGAAUUUCAGGUGUAGCGGUGAAAUGCGUAGAGAUCUGAAGGAAUACCGGUGGCGAAGGCGGCCCCCUGGACAGAUACUGACACUCAGAUGCGAAAGCGUGGGGAGCAAACAGGAUUAGAUACCCUGGUAGUCCACGCCGUAAACGAUGUCUACUUGGAGGUUGUGGCCUUGAGCCGUGGCUUUCGGAGCUAACGCGUUAAGUAGACCGCCUGGGGAGUACGGUCGCAAGAUUAAAACUCAAAUGAAUUGACGGGGGCCCGCACAAGCGGUGGAGCAUGUGGUUUAAUUCGAUGCAACGCGAAGAACCUUACCUACUCUUGACAUCCAGAGAACUUUCCAGAGAUGGAUUGGUGCCUUCGGGAACUCUGAGACAGGUGCUGCAUGGCUGUCGUCAGCUCGUGUUGUGAAAUGUUGGGUUAAGUCCCGCAACGAGCGCAACCCUUAUCCUUGUUUGCCAGCGAGUAAUGUCGGGAACUCCAGGGAGACUGCCGGUGAUAAACCGGAGGAAGGUGGGGACGACGUCAAGUCAUCAUGGCCCUUACGAGUAGGGCUACACACGUGCUACAAUGGCGCAUACAGAGGGCAGCAAGCUAGCGAUAGUGAGCGAAUCCCAAAAAGUGCGUCGUAGUCCGGAUUGGAGUCUGCAACUCGACUCCAUGAAGUCGGAAUCGCUAGUAAUCGUGGAUCAGAAUGCCACGGUGAAUACGUUCCCGGGCCUUGUACACACCGCCCGUCACACCAUGGGAGUGGGCUGCAAAAGAAGUAGGUAGUUA